GACGAACGCUGGCGGCGUGCUUAACACAUGCAAGUCGAACGGAAAGGCCCUGCUUUUGUGGGGUGCUCGAGUGGCGAACGGGUGAGUAACACGUGAGUAACCUGCCCUUGACUUUGGGAUAACUUCAGGAAACUGGGGCUAAUACCGGAUAGGAGCUCCUGCUGCAUGGUGGGGGUUGGAAAGUUUCGGCGGUUGGGGAUGGACUCGCGGCUUAUCAGCUUGUUGGUGGGGUAGUGGCUUACCAAGGCUUUGACGGGUAGCCGGCCUGAGAGGGUGACCGGGCCCAAUGGGGACUGGGAUACGGCCCAGACUCCUCGGGGGGGCAGGGGGGGGGAUUUUUGAACAAUGGGGGGAGGCCUGAAGAAGCACCCCCGGGUGCGGGAUGACGGCCUUCGGGUUGAAAACCGCUUUCGCCUGUGAGGAAGGGUGGGUGACGGUAAUGGGUAAAGAAGCACCGGCUAACUCCGG
rnacentral:rRNA from 1 species